ACGCUAGCUACAGGCUUAACACAUGCAAGUCGAGGGGAAACGGCAUUGAGUGCUUGCACUCUUUGGACGUCGACCGGCGCACGGGUGAGUAACGCGUAUCCAACCUUCCCAUUACCGUGGGAUAACCUGCCGAAAGGCAGACUAAUACCGCAUAGUCUUCGAUGACGGCAUCAGAUUUGAAGUAAAGAAUUAUCGGUAAUGGAUGGGGAUGCGUCUGAUUAGCUUGUUGGCGGGGUAACGGCCCACCAAGGCAACGAUCAGUAGGGGUUCUGAGAGGAAGGUCCCCCACAUUGGAACUGAGACACGGUCCAAACUCCUACGGGAGGCAGCAGAGAGGAAUAUUGGUCAAUGGACGGAAGUCUGAACCAGCCAAGUAGCGUGCAGGAUGACGGCCCUAUGGGUUGUAAACUGCUUUUGUAUGGGGAUAAAGUUAGGGACGUGUCCCUAUUUGCAGGUACCAUACGAAUAAGGACCGGCUAAUUCCGUGCCAGCAGCCGCGGUAAUACGGAAGGUCCAGGCGUUAUCCGGAUUUAUUGGGUUUAAAGGGAGCGUAGGCUGGAGAUUAAGUGUGUUGUGAAAUGUAGACGCUCAACGUCUGAAUUGCAGCGCAUACUGGUUUCCUUGAGUACGCACAACGUUGGCGGAAUUCGUCGUGUAGCGGUGAAAUGCUUAGAUAUGACGAAGAACUCCGAUUGCGAAGGCAGCUGACGGGAGCGCAACUGACGCUUAAGCUCGAAGGUGCGGGUAUCAAACAGGAUUAGAUACCCUGGUAGUCCGCACAGUAAACGAUGGAUGCCCGCUGUUGGUACCUGGUAUCAGCGGCUAAGCGAAAGCAUUAAGCAUCCCACCUGGGGAGUACGCCGGCAACGGUGAAACUCAAAGGAAUUGACGGGGGCCCGCACAAGCGGAGGAACAUGUGGUUUAA
rnacentral:rRNA from 1 species